rnacentral:rRNA from 1 species
AAUCGAACUAGGAGAUAGCUCGUUCUCUCCGAAAUGCAUUUAGGUGCAGCCUUGAACUGAGAUAUGUGGGGGUAGAGCUCUGUAUGAUCUAGGGGGCGUACUGCUUACCGAAAUCAAGCAAACUGCGAAUACCAUAUAUCAUGUUCAGGAGUGAGUCCGUGGAUGACAAGGUCCUCGGACGAGAGGGGAACAGCCCAGACCGCCAGCUAAGGUCCCUAAUUAUGUCUAAGUGGGAAAGGAGGUGGACAUUCAUAGACAACCAGGAGGUUGGCUUAGAAGCAGCCAUGCCUUGAAAGAGUGCGUAAUAGCUCACUGGUCGAGAGUGCCUGCGCCGAAGAUGUAACGGGGCUAAGACAUAAACCGAAGCUGCGGAAGAUACACUGUAUCUUGGUAGGAGAGCGUUCUGUAGGCCGUCGAAGGGAUGCCGCAAGGCCGUCCUGGAGGUAUCAGAAGCGAGAAUGCAGGAAUGAGUAGCGAGAAGGCGGGUGAGAAUCCCGCCGGCCGGAAGUCCAAGGUUUCCAGGGGAAGGCUUGUCCGCCCUGGGGAAGUCGGGACCUAAGCAUAAGCAAAAUUGUGAUGGCGAAUGGAAAACAGGUUAAUAUUCCUGUACCGCUGUUAUCGCUUGAGAGACGGAGUGACGCAGGAAGGUAUGCGAGAAGGCUGACGGUUUAGCCUUUCUAAGGGCCCAGCGUGGGCGUGCAGGCAAAUCCGCACGCCUAAACGUGAGACCUGACGGGGAAGUGCAUUUGCAUAAGUCGCAGAUCCUACACUGCCAAGAAAAACUUCUAUCGAUGAGAACCAGCGCCCGUACUGUAAACCGACACAGGUGGACAGAGUGAGAAACUUAAGGCCGACAGGAUAACUCUAGCUAAGGAACUCUGCAAAAUAGCCCCGUAACUUCGGGAGAAGGGGUGCCUGACAUACCUGAAGGAGAGAAGCGCUCCCAGGGGAAACAGGCCGCAGUGAAGAGUCUCAAGCAACUGUUUACCAAAAACACAGGUCUAUGCUAAGCUGAAAGGCGACGUAUAUGGGCUGACACCUGCCCAGUGCCGGAAGGUUAAGAGGAGGAGUGAGAGCUCCGAUUUGAAGCCCCGGUGAACGGCGGCCGUAACUAUAACGGUCCUAAGGUAGCGAAAUUCCUUGUCGGGUAAGUUCCGACCUGCACGAAUGGUGAAAUGAUUUGAGAGCUGUCUUGGCUGGAGACCUGGUGAAGUUGUAAUGCCGGUGAAGAUACCGGCUACCUGCAGUAGGACGGAAAGACCCCGUGGAGCUUUACUGUAGCUUGGCAUUGGGUUCUGGCAAUGUGUGUAUAGGAUAGUUGGGAGACUGUGAUGCAAUGGCGUCAGCCAUUGCUGAGUCGCUGUUGGAAUACCAACCAUAUGCUGUCGGAAUUCUAAUCUGGCAACGGAGACAGUGCUAGGUGGGCAGUUUGACUGGGGCGGUCGCCUCCCAAAGAGUAACGGAGGCGUUCAAAGGUUCCCUCAGGCUGGAUGGAAAUCAGCCUAAGAGUGCAAACGCAUAAGGGAGCUUGACUGCAAGACUGACGGGUCGAGCAGGUACGAAAGUAGGAGUUAGUGAUCCGGCGGUUCCGCAUGGAAGGACCGUCGCUCAACGGAUAAAAGCUACCCCGGGGAUAACAGGCUGAUACUUCCCAAGAGUCCAUAUCGACGGAAGUGUUUGGCACCUCGAUGUCGGCUCGUCUCAUCCUGGGGCUGGAGAAGGUCCCAAGGGUUGGGCUGUUCGCCCAUUAAAGAGGCACGCGAGCUGGGUUCAGAACGUCGUGAGACAGUUCGGUCCCUAUCCACUGCAGGCGCCUGAAUAUUGAAAAGAUCUGACCUUAGUACGAGAGGACCGGGUUGGACAGACCUCUGAUGUAUCAGUUGUCACGCCAGUGGCAUGGCUGAGUAGUCACGUCUGGCACGGAUAACCGCUGAAAGCAUCUAAGCGGGAAGCCGACUUUGAGAUGAAUAUUCGUAGUAUCCAUAGAGAACAUAUGGUCGAUAGGCUAGGGGUGCAAGUGCAGCAAUGCAUUCAGCUGACUAGUACUAAUAUUACGUCUGCUUUUA